GCUUGCACUACUUCCCCUCGCUUUGGAAGCAGAUGAAAUUUUCUCUGAGAUAGUGUUACAAUUAGUAACAGAUGAUGGAGGAACAACUAAAGAAGCAUUAGUGAACAACUCUCUACGACAAUCUUUUGGCCUAAUUUCAAUGCCAUUUAGAUCUGCAUUGUCAACUUUAGUGCUCCCCGUUGCCUCCACCAAGAGAUCUUGUUUCCUUGACUUCUUGCGAAUAGAUCUCUUUCUAAAGACAAUGUCUGGAGAAACCUCUCCAUUAUCACUGCAGACCUCAGCAACAAAAGUGGCCUUCAGUUUUUUGCGGCUUGCAUUACUUUUCCCCGCUUUGUAGACAGAAGCAUCUUUCUCUGAGCUCGUGUUACAACUAGUAAGCGAUGAUGGAGGAACAACUAAAGAGGCAUUAGUGAACAACUCUCUGCGACAAUCUUUAAGCCCAAUUUCCUUCUCACUUGAAGUUGCACUGUCACCUUUAGUCUUCGCUGUUGCUUCUCCCGAGAGAUCUUUUUUCCUUGACUUGUUAAUAGAACUCUUUUCAUAGCCAAUGUCUCCACCGAGGAGAGGCUGCGAUGAAGAGCCUAACUUUCUUUUAACCAUCUUUUU
rnacentral:misc_RNA from 1 species